GGGACUCCUUCCACAUGCAGCUGUAGGUGUGGGGUGUCCACGGGAGAAGUUAAUUCUCAUGGGAGAGAUUGUGGAAAAACAGCCACGUAGGAGAACCCAGCUGUUCCUCUGCAAAUAAGCAUGGCAGGAGCUACUUGUGAACAAAAACAGGCCUGGGAGAACGCCAGACGUCCACGUAGAGGUUUUAGCAGCACAGUGGAAGGAAUAAAGAGAUGAAGAAGAAAAAGAAAACAACCUCAUUUGCCUGCAUCAUUUCCAUUCCCCACGCCAGCACUACUGAGCUCUAAGAAGGAGCGUCCCAGCGUGGAAGAGUUUCUUUUGCCGGGUCCGCAAGAGCAGGGUGAGGAACCAUCUUUGCGGGCCUCUUGGAACAGAGUUAGGCUCCAGCUUCUGUUUCACUGCAUCGAGACAGGCAGAGCUAAGAUGUAUAUUUAACCAGCUAGAAACAAGGUAGAAAAAGAGGCUAAGUAGACAUGCAGUGGAGACCGUCACGGUUCAGAGAGUGGCUUUGCAGACAAACACGGCAGAUUCUGUCACUGAUGGAGCCAGUAGUUGGCGCAACCACCACAGGCCCCUCACUCUCCCUGCAACUCUCAGCAGCUUUCCCCCCACAGGUAUUUGCGCUUGGCAACACCAGCCACCUGUUUCCCUCCUUGAGCCGUGCCUUCGACCCUCUCUGCCUUCUGCAACUUUCAGAGUACAAGAUGCCAGCCUAGGCCCCAACAGGUGGCUCACACUAAACCCCCAUUCAGGGCUGGUAGCACCUGUAGCUCUGUACAGCUUUCUGAUGCCCAUCACCAACCUCCAGUGUGGUGCACACGCUUGGAUGGAAAAUACGCAGCCAUGGGUGAGUGUAUUGCCAGCCAGGGCCACUGCAGCACUCUCUGGGCCCAAAUAAGGCUGUGCCUUCAGUCUGGAACCACUGUGCACCUGCAUGCCAACAUCCAGGGUCUCUACCUCUGCCUGAGAGCACAGCUGAAUGCAGCCCAUGAUACUGGCUCUGGCCCCCAUCACUCCAUGUGUGUCUUUAAUGGGGCUCUGCUACUACAGGACCUGCUGCUGGUCCCAAAGCCAAGUGCAUGUUAAGCUAAAUAUAUGACACCCCCCGGACAGAGUGCUACCAAAUGCCACAAUACCACACCCUGCACCACUAGAACUCAGGUCAGGGUCAUUCACCGACAGAUGAAAGGUUUCCCUUACCAAAGCUGGUGCAUCGAGUCUAGAAGAGGUUACUCCUUUUUUCAAAUGCACAAAAACCUAUGCAGAGUUACAAGGAUCACAAAGAAUGAGGGAGAUACAGCUUCUCCAAAGUAAUACAGUAAACCUGCAAUACCUGGCCCCAAAGAAAUCAAAGAUCCAGAAACUACGAGAGAAAGUCUUUUUUUUUUUUUUGGUUGAGCGUACAGCAUGUGGACAUUCCAAGGCCAGGGAUCAAAUACACACCAUAGCAGUGACCCAAGCUACUGCAGUGACAACGCCAGAUCCUUUACCUGCUGUGCCAUAAGAAAACUCCAAGAGAUUUUCUAAAAAUGGAGAGUAUAAACAAUCCAAAGAUACUAGGAAAACCAUACACAAACAAAAUGAAGAGUUCAGCAAAGAUAGAGAAUGUAAAAGAGACACCCCCCCAAAAAAAAAAAUUUUGGAACUAAAGAAUGCUCUAAGUGAAAUAAAGAAUUCAGUAGCUGACUCAAGCAACCAGAAGAAUCAGUGAGCCCAAAGACAGAUCAACUGAAACAGUCCAAUCAGAGGAGAAAAAAAAA
rnacentral:lncRNA from 1 species